rnacentral:rRNA from 1 species
GCCCAGACUCCUACGGGAGGCAGCAGUGGGGAAUAUUGCACAAUGGGGGAAACCCUGAUGCAGCGACGCCGCGUGAGUGAAGAAGUAUUUCGGUAUGUAAAGCUCUAUCAGCAGGGAAGAAAAACCGACCAUAGGGUCGCUAGACGGUACCUGAUUAAGAAGCCCCGGCUAACUACGUGCCAGCAGCCGCGGUAAUACGUAGGGGGCAAGCGUUAUCCGGAUUCACUGGGUGUAAAGGGAGCGUAGACGGCGACGCAAGUCUGGAGUGAAAGCCCGGGGCCCAACCCCGGGACUGCUCUUGGAACUGCGCGGCUGGAGUGCAGGAGGGGCAGGCGGAAUUCCUGGUGUAGCGGUGAAAUGCGUAGAUAUCAGGAGGAACACCGGUGGCGAAGGCGGCCUGCUGGACUGCGACUGACGUUGAGGCCCGAAAGCGUGGGGAGCAAACAGGAUUAGAUACCCCAGUAA